UACAGAGGGGGCAAGCGUUGUUCGGAAUUACUGGGCGUAAAGGGCGCGUAGGCGGCCGCCUAAGUCAAACGUGAAAUCCCUCGGCUUAACCGGGGAACUGCGUCUGAUACUGGAUGGCUUGAGAUUGGGAGAGGGAUGCGGAAUUCCAGGUGUAGCGGUGAAAUGCGUAGAUAUCUGGAGGAACACCGGUGGCGAAGGCGGCAUCCUGGACCAACACUGACGCUGAGGGAGCGAAAGCCAGGGGAGCAAACGGG
rnacentral:rRNA from 1 species